rnacentral:rRNA from 1 species
AUCUAUGGCUAUACCACCUUGAAAGCAUCCAAUAUAGUCUGAUGUCUGAUCUCUAAAGCUAAGUUGGGUGGGGUCUGGUUAGUAGUUGGUUUGGAGACCUUUUGGUAAUACUAGGUCUUGUAGGCU